GACAUUUUCAAUACUCUCACUAUCUCUCCGGUUUUCCCUCUUCUCUCUCUAUCCCUCUUAUUAACUUUUCUUUGAAUCUUGCAGAUCUAGGGCUAAAAUUGGAUACAAAGAGUAAAUGAGGACAGAAAGCAGAUCUGUUGGGACAAAUACAACCAAACAAUGAUGGUGAUGAUGUAACAGAGAGAUGCAUCAUAGGGUGUCAUCUUCAAAAUCGUUAGGUUCUUCUUUAUAUAUUCCAUUUUGGCUUAUCUCACCAUUUUUUUCUCGCUUUUGGAAAAAAUGAAAGCUAAAUCAUAUGACGAAUAUGAAUAUUGAAGUAAUGAGGCCUUGGGUCUCCAUAAAAGGGACCGAGCCUUUUGGGUUUGAGGAUGAAGCGCUUAUCAACUAAAAGGGACUGAGUCUUUUGGCGGACUCGACUAUGGCUGAUGAUUGCAGUGUGAAUACUUCUUCAAGGACCACAUCUCUUACUGCUAUGAUAUUUGGAAGACUUCUAAUGGUGGCUAAUGCUGGUGACUGUCGAAGCCAUUGAUAUGUCUUAAGAUCAUCGGCCUAUUUAUCCAUUAGAGAGUAGACAAGUUGAAGAAUUGGGCGGCUAUGUAGAAGAUGGUUACCUAAAUGGCGUUUUAUCAGUUACCAGAGCAUUAGGAGACUGGGACAUGAAGUUACCUAGGGGUGUUCCCUCACCUUUGAUUGCAUAGCCCGAUUUCUGUCAAAUGGUUCUAACAGAUGACAAUGUGUUGGCAUCUUGGAUGUUAUGUGAAGCCAGCAUGUCGUUAGCCUUUUACGUGAAGGUUUGAGGAGGCAUGACGAUUGACGACCCAGAUAAUUAUUUGCUAGCAAAAAGUGAAGCUGAUCAUUACACUAGAGAAUUGAAAAGGGAACAAGACGAAAUCAUUGAUGUACCAGAGAGUGGUAUGAACCUGUUGUGAAUGCUCUCACCAAGAAUCCUCAAGCAUGGCUUGAUUUUAUGAUGAAAUAGCUUCCUGCUGCUUUCCUAGGUUCUGAUUUGACUGAUUCCUGCUUUUUGGGAAUAAUACACUCUAUGGUCAACUCAUCCUUAAAUGCAAACAGACUACUUUUACAACUAGGCAAUAUUACCCUCACUAUGUUCAUGGUGACAAACCGGUUUUACACAACGUAUAUUUGAUGUAUCCAAUGGCACAACCUUCUCAACUCAUCUUAUGCAUUAUAUUAUUGGAUCAAUUUGAAUGUUACACAUGGAUGCCACUCAUAUUCAUCAAGGUUGAGACUACAACUGUUUGUAAUCUAAGACUAUGAAAAUCAUGGGCUAGGUUGGAUGGAUAUACAAUAUCAUUUCUGUUGGUUUCAAGGUCAAAUCUUAUUUUGAAGAGUUAUGUGACAAAUCUAAGAUUAUGUGUAAAGACAUUGCAAUUCUUUUCUUGUCAUAUUUUGAUUAUUUCAAUAUUGGUUGUACUGCAAGUUGUAUUUUCAUUUACUUUUUGAACAAUAUUUUUGAUCUUUGACACUCUUUGUCAAGACAGUACAAAUUUUUU